rnacentral:rRNA from 1 species
CCUACGGGAGGCAGCAGUGGGGAAUCUUGCGCAAUGGGCGAAAGCCUGACGCAGCAACGCCGCGUGCGGGAAGAAGGCUUUCGGGCUGUAAACCGCUUUCAGCAGGAACGAAAAUGACGGUACCUGCAGAAGAAGGAGCGGCCAACUAUGUGCCAGCAGCCGCGGUGAUACAUAGGCUUCAAGCGUUGUCCGGAUUUAUUGGGCGUAAAGAGUUCGUAGGCGGUCGAGUAAGUCGGGUGUGAAAAUUCUGGGCUCAACCCAGAGACGCCACCCGGAUACUGCUUAACUUGAGUUCGAUAGGGGAGUGGGGAAUUCCUAGUGUAGCGGUGAAAUGCGCAGAUAUUAGGAGGAACACCGGUGGCGAAGGCGCCACUCUGGAUCGAUACUGACGCUGAGGAACGAAAGCAUGGGUAGCAAACAGGAUUAGAUACCCUGGUAGUCCAUGCCGUAAACGGUGGGCACUAGGUGUGGGAUUCUAUUAACGAAUUCCGCGCCGUCGCUAACGCAUUAAGUGCCCCGCCUGGGGGUAGGUACGGUCGCGAGACGUAAACGUACAAGUAGUAAGUUAGUACGGUUCGUUGUAGACGUUGCCGACGGCGACGACGAGGGAGGAGG